rnacentral:rRNA from 1 species
UACAGAGGUCUCAAGUGUUGUUCGGAAUAAUUGGGCGUAAAGGGUGCGCAGGCUGUUGCAAAAGUCCACGGUUAAAAAAUCAGGCUCAACCUGAUCGAAGCCGUAGAAACUGUGCAACUAGGGAUCUUGAGGGGAUAGCCGGAAUUCACAGUGUAGCAGUGAAAUGCGUAGAUAUUGUGAGGAAGACCAAUGGCGAAGGCAGGUAUCUGGAAAGUAUCCGACGCUCAUGCACGAAGGCCAAGGGAGCAAACGGG